rnacentral:rRNA from 1 species
AUUGAACGCUGGCGGAAUGCUUUACACAUGCAAGUCGAACGGCAGCACGGACUUCGGUCUGGUGGCGAGUGGCGAACGGGCGAGUAAUGUAUCGGAACGUGCCCAGUCGUGGGGGAUAACGUAGUGAAAAUUACGCUAACACCGCAUACGAUCUAUGGAUGAAAGCGGGGGAUCGCAAGACCUCGCGCGAUUGGAGCGGCCGAUAUCAGAUUAGGUAGUUGGUGGGGUAAAGGCCCACCAAGCCAACGAUCUGUAGCUGGUCUGAGAGGACGAGCAGCCACACUGGAACGGAGACACGGUCCAGCCUCCUACGGGAGGCAGCAGUGGGGAAUUUUGGACAAUGGGCGAAAGCCUGAUCCAGCCAUUCCGCGUGCAGGAUGAAGGCCCUCGGGUUGUAAACUGCUUUUGUACAGAACGAAAAGGUUUCUACUAAUACUAGGAGCUCAUGACGGUACUGUAAGAAUAAGCACCGGCUAACUACGUGCCAGCCGCCGCAGUAA